UACGGAGGGUGCAAGCGUUAUCCGGAUUCACUGGGUUUAAAGGGUGCGUAGGCGGGUUGGUAAGUCCGUGGUGAAAUCCCCAAGCUUAACUUGGGAACUGCCGUGGAUACUAUCAAUCUUGAAUAUCGUGGAGGUAAGCGGAAUAUGUCAUGUAGCGGUGAAAUGCUUAGAUAUGACAUAGAACACCAAUUGCGAAGGCAGCUCACUACUGGAUCAUUGACACUGAGGCACGAAAGCGUGGGGAUCAAACAGG
rnacentral:rRNA from 1 species